GCUGGCGGCAGGCCUAACACAUGCAAGUCGAGCGGUAGCACAGAGAGCUUGCUCUCGGGUGACGAGCGGCGGACGGGUGAGUAAUGUCUGGGAAACUGCCUGAUGGAGGGGGAUAACUACUGGAAACGGUAGCUAAUACCGCAUAACGUCGCAAGACCAAAGUGGGGGACCUUCGGGCCUCAUGCCAUCAGAUGUGCCCAGAUGGGAUUAGCUGGUAGGUGGGGUAACGGCUCACCUAGGCGACGAUCCCUAGCUGGUCUGAGAGGAUGACCAGCCACACUGGAACUGAGACACGGUCCAGACUCCUACGGGAGGCAGCAGUGGGGAAUAUUGCACAAUGGGCGCAAGCCUGAUGCAGCCAUGCCGCGUGUGUGAAGAAGGCCUUCGGGUUGUAAAGCACUUUCAGCGGGGAGGAAGGCGGUGAGGUUAAUAACCUCAUCGAUUGACGUUACCCGCAGAAGAAGCACCGGCUAACUCCGUGCCAGCAGCCGCGGUAAUACGGAGGGUGCAAGCGUUAAUCGGAAUUACUGGGCGUAAAGCGCACGCAGGCGGUCUGUCAAGUCGGAUGUGAAAUCCCCGGGCUCAACCUGGGAACUGCAUUCGAAACUGGCAGGCUAGAGUCUUGUAGAGGGGGGUAGAAUUCCAGGUGUAGCGGUGAAAUGCGUAGAGAUCUGGAGGAAUACCGGUGGCGAAGGCGGCCCCCUGGACAAAGACUGACGCUCAGGUGCGAAAGCGUGGGGAGCAAACAGGAUUAGAUACCCUGGUAGUCCACGCUGUAAACGAUGUCGAUUUGGAGGUUGUGCCCUUGAGGCGUGGCUUCCGGAGCUAACGCGUUAAAUCGACCGCCUGGGGAGUACGGCCGCAAGGUUAAAACUCAAAUGAAUUGACGGGGGCCCGCACAAGCGGUGGAGCAUGUGGUUUAAUUCGAUGCAACGCGAAGAACCUUACCUGGUCUUGACAUCCACAGAACUUUCCAGAGAUGGAUUGGUGCCUUCGGGAACUGUGAGACAGGUGCUGCAUGGCUGUCGUCAGCUCGUGUUGUGAAAUGUUGGGUUAAGUCCCGCAACGAGCGCAACCCUUAUCCUUUGUUGCCAGCGGUUAGGCCGGGAACUCAAAGGAGACUGCCAGUGAUAAACUGGAGGAAGGUGGGGAUGACGUCAAGUCAUCAUGGCCCUUACGACCAGGGCUACACACGUGCUACAAUGGCAUAUACAAAGAGAAGCGACCUCGCGAGAGCAAGCGGACCUCAUAAAGUAUGUCGUAGUCCGGAUUGGAGUCUGCAACUCGACUCCAUGAAGUCGGAAUCGCUAGUAAUCGUAGAUCAGAAUGCUACGGUGAAUACGUUCCCGGGCCUUGUACACACCGCCCGUCACACCAUGGGGAGUGGGUUGCAAAAGAAGUAGGUAGCUUAACCUUCGGGAGGGCGCUUACCACUUUGUGAUUCAUGACUGGGGUGAAU
rnacentral:rRNA from 1 species